ensembl:lncRNA
AGAAUGAGAAAAGGCCUCUGCUAGCGAUUAGUGUGGGCUUGCAAUGAACUAAAGCUGGCCAGGUGACUGAAUCAAAACCAGAGUCUAAGCUUCAGGGUGUGCUGAGGGUUGGGCUUCCCCUUGGUGACCGGCUGCCACAACAACCACACGAGGAGGCGGAGAGACCUGUUCCCAUGGCUAUGACCUACUGAGAUGCUCAAACUGCACUUUGUAUUAAAUGUAAGAGGAGAAAUUACAUCAGCACACAGCACCUCCGUCAAUCAUGUUCUCAUUCAUUCGCCAAACUGCAAGCCUGUCUUCGAGUGAAUCACACUAUAACAGCCGUCGUUUUCCCUGCCAGUGCACGAGUGUGAGUCGAAGCGUACUGUUGUGACCUGGCGAGAGACAGAGUGGGAUAUUGAAAUCUGGAGACAGGUCAGGGAUUUCCCCUCCAUUCUUUUCGGGUCUUCAUUUAGAGGCAUCGUAAAUUUCGCUUACAAACAUUAUCAAGAACGGGACAGCACAUUAAUCUAGAACAGUGCUUCAUCCAUGGCCCACUUACGUGUGUACCGAGGUGCGUCCGCCCGUCAGCUGUAACACUGGCCACCGCAG